ensembl:lncRNA
UAGCAAGUGGUUUCAUCCAAAGGGACUUACAAAGGCAGUUAGUCAAAGCCAACAAUAUUUGUAAUAUACAAUGACAGGUUUAUUGGACAAAUACUGUAGAUAGCAUAGAUAGACAACCAUGGAAGAGGAGAAAUGCAGAGAAGAGAAAGUUUCUUGUGAGAGUGUGUGUCAUUGCAUUGUUGUAAGUUAUGCAUGCAUACAUAUGCCCCUUCGGUGCAGGUUUUUUUAAUUAUUUUUUUUUACUUCUGAAACGUCCACAUCAGUUUCCAGUUUUGCUUUUUGUUUUUGUUUUUGUAAAGUUGAACAAAAAAUAUUGUUAAUUAAAUUGCAAAAUAAGGUUUUGCAUCAAAAAUCCACUAUUAUGCAUUAGACCAGGGGUGGCGAACUCCUGUCCUGGAGAGUCGCAGCCCUGCAGAGUUCAGCUCCAACCCUAAUUAAAACUUACCUGCCUGUAGCUGUCUAGUAACCCCUUCAGACCUUGAUUAGCUUGUUCAGGUGUGUUUGAUUAGGGUUGAAGCAAAACUCUGCAGGGCUGCGGCUCUGUUCGCCACCCCUGAGGGGUAUUGCACAAAAGUAGAAUUAAGAAAGCCAGGAUAACAGAAAAGGCGCGGCUUGACCUAGUUCAAUCAGCACAUCCUGGCUUAGUCUGUUGCACAUUUGCUAAGCCAGGAUGAGAGCGUGCAGCUAUGUCAAGCCAAGUGUAGAUAGUUGGGAUAAGUGCACGUUCACGGCAUUCUGAAACAGACCACGGGAUCGAUCACAGAAUCAAUGAUGCAAAAAUGGAUAAAACCCGUAUGGCAUACUUCUCGCCAACUGAGCAACAGCUUCUAAUGGAAACAUAUGAAGAGAACAAGCGUGUCUGGCCAAAAAAGGACCUGGCAGCAAGUACAAGAACAUUUUGCAGGCUGCAUUGAAAAAAAAAAGGCUCAUAUAUCUGGCAUGGGGGGUGGUCCUCCAACCCAAGACUUGACCACAGCAGAGGAGCUGGAGUUGAAUAAAGGGAAGCCAGUGAUGGAAGGGACACAGUGAGGGACAGCCACUGACUCUGGCCCAGCAAGAGAGACUGGCCUCUUCAUACAAGGUACAUUACUGCCGUACUACUGCACAUGGAAAACAAUCAAGUAUUUAGAUUUUGUUAUGUGGACUGUCUGACUUUGCCUUACCUUGCAGUGUCUGGUAACACACUUACACUUCUGGAGCCACCAGACUAUGAUCCGCUGGUGACUUCUCUUUAUUAAAAUCAUAGGCUUGACACGUCCUGUCAAAACUAUCAAUACAAGUUCUGUUGAAUAUGGCAGAUCUGCUGAUGAUGCGAUCGUGUCACUUGGACUCCAGAAGGCUUGAGGUGUCAUGUCAAUUUUGUGAUAAAGAGAUAUUUUGAAGAUUGCUGGUAAUCAAACAGUUGGUGGCUCCUACUGACUUCCAUAGUAUUUUUUUUCCUCUUUUAUGUCCAACAUAAGAAAGCAACUCAUACAGGUUUGGAUAGAACUUCAAAAGAAGAAUCAGAUGAUCCAGAACAUAUAAAGGUAUUUUGUUGUUUACUAAAAAUAUUUAUAAGGUUGUUGCCAUCCUCAAGAGUAGAACCAUUUUCAAAAUAUAUUUUAUUAUUCCUUUAUUCGAGUUGAAAAGACUAACAAAUGCAACAUUUAUUUAGAAUAAGCCUAUAUAUACACUACAUAUUGACCUCGUCAUGGACUUAAAUGAAACCACAUUUGCAACUUCAUCAGCCAUUUCUUAUAAUCUCAACAAAUGCAAUAAUAUAUGCAUUCAUCAAACCUCUAACAGCAAUAUGAACAGUCUUCAUAACAACACUAAAACAGGGAUACUUAGAUGCAUGACAGUAUAUGUCGUAUUUUAAUGCGUGAUAAUUAAAAUGAUGCAACAUUUGCAGAAGACCAUGGAGUGACUGUAAAACAUUAAUUUCUAGAAGGAUUGACAGCAGAACUAACAGAUAAAUCACUAAGAUUAAUCUUAGCCUGGUUGUUAGCCUGCUCCGGAGCAGGCUAGCUGCAAAGUGUAAAUCUCCAUA